rnacentral:rRNA from 1 species
UACGUAGGGAGCAAGCGUUGUCCGGAUUUAUUGGGCGUAAAGAGCUCGUAGGCGGUUCCGUAAGUCAGGUGUGAAAAAUCUGGGCUCAACCCAGUGGAGCACCUGAUACUGCGGUGACUCGAGUCCGGUAGGGGAGUGUGGAAUUCCUGGUGUAGCGGUGAAAUGCGUAGAUAUCCGGAGGAACACCGAUGGCGAAGGCAGCUUCCUGGCCCACAACUGACGCUGAGGUGCGAAAGCGUGGGGAGCGAACGGG